CCUACGGGGGGCUGCAGUCGAGAAUCAUUCACAAUGGGGGAAACCCUGAUGGUGCGACGCCGCGUGGGGGAAUGAAGGUCUUCGGAUUGUAAACCCCUGUCAUGUGGGAGCAAAUUAAAAAGAUAGUACCACAAGAGGAAGAGACGGCUAACUCUGUGCCAGCAGCCGCGGUAAUACAGAGGUCUCAAGCGUUGUUCGGAAUCACUGGGCGUAAAGCGUGCGUAGGCUGUUUCGUAAGUCGUGUGUGAAAGGCGCGGGCUCAACCCGCGGACGGCACAUGAUACUGCGAGACUAGAGUAAUGGAGGGGGAACCGGAAUUCUCGGUGUAGCAGUGAAAUGCGUAGAUAUCGAGAGGAACACUCGUGGCGAAGGCGGGUUACUGGACAUUAACUGACGCUGAGGCACGAAGGCCAGGGGAGCGAAAGGGAUUAGAUACCCCGGUAGUC
rnacentral:rRNA from 1 species